AUUGAACGCUGGCGGCAGGCCUAACACAUGCAAGUCGAACGAGUGGCGGACGGGUUAUUAAUGUCUGGGAAACUUCCUGAUGGAUGGGGAUCACUACUGGACACUGUCGCUAAUCCCGCCUACCAUCGGAUGUGCCCAGAUGGGAUUAGCUAGUAGGUGGGGUAAAGGCUCACCUAGGCGACUAUCCCUAGCUGGUCUGAGAGGAUGAACAGCCACACUGGAACUGAGACACGGUCCAGACGCCUACGGGAGGCAGCAGUGGGGAAUAUUGGACAAUGGGCGCAAGCCUGAUGCAGCCAUGCCGCGUGUAUGAAGAAGGCCUUCGGGUUGUAAAGUACUUUAAGUGGGGAGGCGUUACCAGCAGAAGAAGCACCGGCUAACUUCGUGCCAGCAGCCGCGGUAAUAC
rnacentral:rRNA from 1 species